rnacentral:sRNA from 1 species
UCCUUCAUUUGGCUGUGACGUGGUAGCU